GACGAACGCUGGCGGCGUGCUUAACACAUGCAAGUCGAACGGAAAGGCCUGCUUUCCCUUGUGGAUUGCGGGUACUCGAGUGGCUAACGGGUGAGUAACACGUGCGUGAUCUGCCCCCAACUUGGUUAUAAGCCUGGGAAACUGGGUCUAAUUCCCGAUAGGACUGCAGGGUGGUGCCUGUGGUGGCAAACGAUUUUCUAGUGGUUGGGGAUGAGCUCUAGGCCUAUCAGCUUGUUGGUGGGGUAAUGGCCUACCAAGGCGGCGACGGGUAGCCGGCCUGGGAGGGUGGACGGCGACAUUGAGACUGAGAUACGGCCCAGACGCCUACGGGAGGCAGCAGUGGGGAAGAAUGCACAAUGAGCGGAAGCCUGAUGCAGCGACGGAGCGUGGGGGAUGACGGCAUUCGAGUUGUAAACUCCUUUCGACCGAGAGAAAGCCACCUGGUUGGAAGGGUGGUGACGGUAGUGGUAGAAGAAGCACCGGCUAACUACGUG
rnacentral:rRNA from 1 species